GGAAACGGGUUAAUAUUCCCGUACUUCUUACAAUUGCGAUGGGGGGACGGAGAAGGCUAGGUGGGCCUGGCGACGGUUGUCCAGGUUCAAGUGCGUAGGCUUGAGAGUUAGGUAAAUCCGGCUCUCUUUAAGGCUGAGACACGACGUCGAGCACCUACGGGUGUGAAGUCAUUGAUGCCAUGCUUCCAGGAAAAGCCUCUAAGCUUCAGAUUGUAAGGAAUCGUACCCCAAACCGACACAGGUGGUCGGGUAGAG
rnacentral:rRNA from 1 species